rnacentral:rRNA from 1 species
CCUACGGGUGGCUGCAGUGAGGAAUAUUGGUCAAUGGUCGCGAGCCUGAACCAGCCAAGUAGCGUGAAGGAUGACUGCCCUUCGGGUUGUAAACCUCUUUUAUCAAGGAAUAAAGUGAGGCACGUGUGCCUUUUUGUAUGUACUUUAUGAAUAAGCAUCGGCUAACUCCGUGCCAGCAGCCGCGGUAAUACGGAGGAUCCGAGCGUUAUCCGGAUUUAUUGGGUUGAAAGGGUGCGGAGAUGGUUUGUUAAGUCAGUUGUGAAAUGUUGCGGCUCAACCGUAAAAUUGCAGUUGAUACUGGCAGCCUUGAGUACAGUUGAGGUAGGCGGAAUUCGUGGUGUAGCGGUGAAAUGCUUAGAUAUCACGAAGAACUCCGAUUGCGAAGGCAGCUUACUAAACUGCAACUGACAUUGAUGCUCGAAAGUGUGGGUAUCGAACAGGAUUAGAUACCCGGGUAGUC